rnacentral:misc_RNA from 1 species
UCACUACUUGCGUAGGCAGUCUCGCCAGAGUCCUCAACUGAAUGGUAGCAACUGGCGACAGGGGUUGCGCUCGUUGCAGGACUUAACCUAACACCUCACGGCACGAGCUGACGACAACCAUGCAGCACCUUGAAAAAUGUCCGAAGAAGGGUCUGUUUCCAAACCUGUCAUUUCCCAUUUAAGUCUUGGUAAGGUUCCUCGCGUAUCAUCGAAUUAAACCACAUAAUCCACCGCUUGUGCGGGCCCCCGUCAAUUCCUUUGAGUUUCAUCCUUGCGGACGUACUCCCCAGGUGGCUAACUUAUCACUUUCGCUUGGUCCCUCACGCCGAAGCGCAAAAAACGAGUUAGCAUCGUUUACGGCGUGGACUAC